AAAAAAGAAAAAAAGAAAAGAAAAAAAGGAGAAGUGUUCACUGUUAAAACUGUCUCUGCCUUUAAUGGAACAAGACAAAUAAUAAAAGAGAAAGAACAAAUCUUUUUUCAAGAAGAGAGAGAGAGAGAUAGUGUGUGUGUGUGUGUGUGUGUGUGUUUUUAAGAUCUGUUUGAAUGCAUUUUCUCACUCUGUGUUUCUCCUUUUUUUUGUGAAAACACUUUGACCAGUUAGGGUUUGUUUGGACCAAAACUAACUUCUUUGGCCAUGGCAUUGCUACUGCAUUUUUCAGGAAGAUGGUUUUCCUCCCAACAAAGGUCAGAUAGAGAAGUAGGAGUUGAGCUUGCUUCAGAGGUUUUGAGCUGGUGGUUGACUGUUAAACCGGGUUGAACUUCCUUGUGAUUUUCUAGAUCAUGUGAACUAAUUAUAUUGUUAGUUAAUUAGGGAAUGAAGCCAUUGGUCCGCGAAGCAUAUCAAGCUUUGUAUCAUAUUGACAAUAGCAGUAAUGAUUCAUAGUGCAUGAAGUAUUUUUUGGCAUAUCAAAGCUACUCAGGUUUAUAUUAUCUAAGUUUUGAUCUGUUCCUAUUCAAACUUCAAUCGGGAUCUUAUGCUCAAUUAGCUUGGAGAUCUAUGAUCACUUGAUAUUUUA